UACGUAGGGUGCGAGCGUUGUCCGGAAUUAUUGGGCGUAAAGAGCUCGUAGGCGGCCUGUCGCGUCGGAUGUGAAAGCCCGGGGCUUAACCCCGGGUCUGCAUUCGAUACGGGCAGGCUAGAGUGUGGUAGGGGAGAUCGGAAUUCCUGGUGUAGCGGUGAAAUGCGCAGAUAUCAGGAGGAACACCAAUGGCGAAGGCAGCUCGCUGGGACGGUACUGACGCUGAGACGCGAAAGCGUGGGGAGCGAACAGG
rnacentral:rRNA from 1 species